UACGUAGGGGGCAAGCGUUGUCCGGAAUCAUUGGGCGUAAAGAGCGUGUAGGCGGUUCAGUAAGUCUGCUGUGAAAGUCCAGGGCUCAACCCUGGGAUGCCGGUGGAUACUGCUGAGCUAGAGUACGGAAGAGGCGAGUGGAAUUCCCGGUGUAGCGGUGAAAUGCGCAGAUAUCGGGAGGAACACCUAUUGCGAAGGCAGCUCGCUGGGACGUCACUGACGCUGAGGAGCGAAAGCGUGGGGAGCGAACAGG
rnacentral:rRNA from 1 species